CCUACGGGAGGCAGCAGUGGGGAAUAUUGCGCAAUGGGCGAAAGCCUGACGCAGCGACGCCGCGUGAGGGAUGAAGGUCUUCGGAGCGGAAACCUCUGUCAGCAGGGAAGAACGGUCACGGUGCUAAUCAGCAGUGAAUGGACGGUACCAGCAAAGGAAGCACCGGCUACCGCCGUGCCAGCAGCCGCGGUCAUACGGAGGGUGCGAGCGUUGAUCGGAAUUACUGGGCGUAAAGCGCUCGUAGGCGGUAUGUCAAGUCAAGGGUGAAAUCCCCGCGCUCAACGUGGGAACUGCCUUUGAAACUGGCAACCUGGAGUGUGUGAGAGGCUAGUGGAAUUCCAGGUGU
rnacentral:rRNA from 1 species